rnacentral:misc_RNA from 1 species
UCAAUUGAAGCCCUGUAGCAAUGCUUUUUUCUUUUCUUCCUGGUGCAGGCAGCAGAUGGUAAUCUCCUAUUUGCUUCCAGUACUCAACAUUCUUUCUUGGUCUUCGAACAAUAGUCCACUAUGAAGCUGAAGAGCUGCUAGCAAUGUCACACUUCUGCUUCUGCAGUACCGAUGAUCCAAAAUAGACAUAUGGUGCAUGAGAUAUUUUCUCCAAAUCAGCUCUUUUCCCAUUUUCAAGAACAGGACAAUCUAUAAUCGACAAAUGUUGCAGUGCAUUGAGACGUUGAAGACCCUCUGGCAAUGACUUGAAAUUUUUGCAGCCUGAGAUUGCUAGAGAUCGGAGUGAAAUGAGUUGUCCCACCCAUUCUGGUAAUUCCAUGAAUUUUAGGCAGCUAUGAAUUUGUAGGUUUUGCAAUGUUGUCACACAUUUCAGCCCCUCAGGCAGA